AUAAAUAACCCACAAAUCAAAUGUCCCAUUUAUAUAGCUUCUGUUUAGGGUUUCUGAAUUGCUUUGGAUAUAUUUCUUCUUCAUCUGAUCACAAAGCAGUUCCUGAUAAUGGCUCCACAACUACACCAAUUGUUGUUCCUCACUUCCCUACCAAAUCUCAACCUUUGAAAUUAUAGUAGCAUAGCAUUUUUAAUUUUCUUGUGCAUGCUACCUAGUUAUGGAGUAAUUUUCAAUAUACACCCCUUCUUUAUAUAUAUAUAUAUAUAGGGUAGUGUUAAAAUCCUAUAUACCACUUAGAUUUAAGUUCCGUUUUUAUUGGGAUCGUUGGAUCUUGAGUAUGAACGAUCUAGAUUUAAUUCUUAUAGUAGCAUUCCGUAGUUCAUUAUUUAGUUUAUUUCGUGCAUUAUGAGGGUGAAUUAGUAAUUAUAUGUGCUCAAAUCUGGAGAAACCGAGGAGUCGAGAUUUUAGAGGGAUACACCCACUACUUUCCAUGUACUCCACGCCUCAUUCAUCAUCAUCCUUAAUUACUCCAGCUUCUCUCUCCAUUUUUGACUUCUCAAAUUCCAGCCAAACCCUAGCCGCCUCCACCACCGUUUUCGCCGAUACAAGCUUAAAUUCAUCCGCUGUUACCUUCGAUUUUCAGUCAUCCGUUCUGUUCUGAACAAUACUCCACCGCCACCAUCACCGUUUUCGCCAAUAAGAAGAGUUCUUAAAAUGACAAAAAGAGGACGACCAACAAAUUCACAACAAUCCCAGCAAGAGGAGAUGCAAUUGUGUAUGAGGACAACUAAAAACAAACGGUGCAGAGUGAGUUCCUUUCGUUGGAACUGUUCAAAGCUGUCAGCCCGGUCAUUAUAGACACUUGGUGCUCUUACUUGAAUAACAUGGAGAAGCUGAAGGCACCAGAUAGUAGUUGUCAUUAUUUUGAUUGUUGUAGGAAAUACGAACUAUCAACGGGCUGAUGAGUACUUCAAUGAGUUAACCGCACAGUUAUUAGAGUAAUUCAGUGUUAUAGAAUCCAAUAACGAACAAAUAUUCGGUGCAUGUAUCAGUUUAAACGUUGUUAUUA